rnacentral:tRNA from 1 species
GGAGAGGUGGCAGAGCGGUCGAAUGCGGCGGUCUCGAAAACCGUUAUCCGUCGUAAGGCGGAUCGAGGGUUCAAAUCCCUCCCUCUCCG